AGCUCGGUGUAAGCUCUUCGCAGGAAGAAAAACUACUAUUAUACUAGGUAAGGCUGACGGUACCUUGAUAAGAAGCACGGCUAACUACGUGCCAGCAGCCGCGGUAAUACGUAGGGUGCGAGCGUUAAUCGGAAUUACUGGGCGUAAAGCGUGCGCAGGCGGUUUUGUAAGUCAGAUGUGAAAUCCCCGAGCUCAACUUGGGAACUGCGUUUGAAACUACAAGACUAGAAUAUGUCAGAGGGGGGUAGAAUUCCACGUGUAGCAGUGAAAUGCGUAGAGAUGUGGAGGAAUACCAAUGGCGAAGGCAGCCCCCUGGGAUAAUAUUGACGCUCAUGCACGAAAGCGUGGGGAGCAAACAGGAUUAGAUACCCUGGUAGUCCACGCCCUAAACGAUGUCUACUAGUUGUUGGUGGAGUAAAAUCCAUGAGUAACGCAGCUAACGCGUGAAGUAGACCGCCUGGGGAGUACGGUCGCAAGAUUAAAACUCAAAUGAAUUGACGGGGGCCCGCACAAGCGGUGGAUUAUGUGGAUUAAUUCGAUGCAACGCGAAAAACCUUACCUGGCCUUGACAUGUACCGAAUUCGGGAGAGAUUCCUUAGUGCUCGAAAGAGAGCGGUAACACAGGUGCUGCAUGGCUGUCGUCAGCUCGUGUCGUGAGAUGUUGGGUUAAGUCCCGCAACGAGCGCAACCCUUGCCAAUAUUUGCCAUCAUUUAGUUGGGCACUUUAUUGGGACUGCCGGUGACAAACCGGAGGAAGGUGGGGAUGACGUCAAGUCCUCAUGGCCCUUAUGGCCAGGGCUUCACACGUAAUACAAUGGUCGGUACAGAGGGUUGCCAACCCGCGAGGGGGAGCCAAUCCCAGAAAGCCGAUCGUAGUCCGGAUUGUAGUCUGCAACUCGACUACGUGAAGUCGGAAUCGCUAGUAAUCGCGGAUCAGCAUGUCGCGGUGAAUACGUUCCCGGGCCUUGUACACACCGCCCGUCACACCAUGGGAGUGGGUUUUACCAGAAGUAGGUAGUCUAACCGCAAGGGGACGCUUACC
rnacentral:rRNA from 1 species